rnacentral:rRNA from 1 species
GUCGAGCGAACGGACGAGAAGCUUGCUUCUCUGAUGUUAGCGGCGGACGGGUGAGUAACACGUGGAUAACCUACCUAUAAGACUGGGAUAACUUCGGGAAACCGGAGCUAAUACCGGAUAAUAUUUUGAACCGCAUGGUUCAAAAGUGAAAGACGGUCUUGCUGUCACUUAUAGAUGGAUCUGCGCUGCAUUAGCUAGUUGGUAAGGUAACGGCUUACCAAGGCAACGAUGCAUAGCCGACCUGAGAGGGUGAUCGGCCACACUGGAACUGAGACACGGUCCAGACUCCUACGGGAGGCAGCAGUAGGGAAUCUUCCGCAAUGGGCGAAAGCCUGACGGAGCAACGCCGCGUGAGUGAUGAAGGUCUUCGGAUCGUAAAACUCUGUUAUUAGGGAAGAACAUAUGUGUAAGUAACUGUGCACAUCUUGACGGUACCUAAUCAGAAAGCCACGGCUAACUACGUGCCAGCAGCCGCGGUAAUACGUAGGUGGCAAGCGUUAUCCGGAAUUAUUGGGUGUAAAGCGCGCGUAGGCGGUUUUUUAAGUCUGAUGUGAAAGCCCACGGCUCAACCGUGGAGGGUCAUUGGAAACUGGAAAACUUGAGUGCAGAAGAGGAAAGUGGAAUUCCAUGUGUAGCGGUGAAAUGCGCAGAGAUAUGGAGGAACACCAGUGGCGAAGGCGACUUUCUGGUCUGUAACUGACGCUGAUGUGCGAAAGCGUGGGGAUCA